rnacentral:lncRNA from 1 species
AUGACAAACACAAAGAGGUGAGGCACGCAACCCGUGUUCUCUAGGCCUUUUAGAAAACAUGGAGUUGUUCCUUUGGCCACAUAUAUGCCAAUCUGCGAGAAAGGUGAUAUUGUAGACAUAAGGGAAUGUGUACUGUUCAAAAAGGAAUGUCCCACAAAUGUUAUCACGGAGAGACUGGAAGAGUCUACAGUGUUCCACAGCAUGCUGUUGGCAUUGUUGUAAACAAACAAGUUGAGGGCAAGAUUCUUGCCAAGAGAAUUAAUGUGGGUAUUUAUUGAGCACAGCCACCAUAGCAUUAUUAAGCACAGCCGCCAUAGCUUCCUGAAACAUGUGACGGAAAAUGAUCAGAAAAAGAAGGAAGCCAAUGAGGAAGGCACUUGGGUUCAACUGAGGUGCCAGCCUGCUUCACCCGGAGAAGUGCACUGUGUGAGAGCCAACAGGAAACAGCCUGAGCUGCUGGACUCUCUUCCCUAUGAUGAAUUCA